UUAUAUUUCCUCUCCUCCUCCUCGCCCUAGGCAACCACUAAUCUACUUUCUGUUUCUAUGGAUUUGCCUGUUUUGGACAUUACAUGUAAAUGGGAUUGGACAAUAUGUGGUCUUUUGUUUCUGGCUGCUUUCACUAAGCACAGUGUUUUCAAAAUUUGUCCAUGUCAUUGCGUAUAUGAGUGCUUCAUUUCUUCUUAUGGCCAAAUAAUGCUUCAUCAUGGGGCUACAUUGUGUUUUACUUAUCCACUCAUCAGUUGGCGGCCAUUUGAGUUGUUUCCACUUUGGGGCUGUUGCAAAUGAUGCUUCUGUGACAUCCAUGCACAAGUUUUCAUGUGGACGUAUGUUUUCAGUUUUCUUGGGUUUAUAUCUAGGAAUGGGAUUGCUGGGUCUUUUGGUGACUCUACAAUCAACCUUUCAAGAACUGCCAGACUGUUUUCCAAAGCCAUGGCACCAUUUUACAUUCCCACCAGCAAGACCAGACAAACCAUGGGAGAAGGAGAGGAGGUGCAAGGACAGGAGCAAUUGCUCCAGGAAACCUGAAACCGCCUGGGACCCACCCUGUUUCCAGGCAGCCACACUGGACCCUGUCUGCGAUCUGCCAUGUCCCUGCCUGACUCCCUGGUGGGGACCUUCUCCUCGAGUGACCUGCACCUCGCACAGCUUCGAUUCCAGGGGUCUCUAGAACUGGGUGGAGGUUUAGAGCAGCCUGGAAUUGUCCCGGUUCCGUUUGCUGGGUGCUUCGGCAGAUAGUCAGGAGGAGGAGGGAGGCAAAUACGUGGAUUUCAUUCCAGAGGUGGCCUUGCACCUGUCUCCAUACAGACUGUACCGUGGGUGUUUGGGCUUCCACGGAAGCCCAGGUGGGAGAAGUCUGGAUCCGAGAAUUUUCGAGAUUUUUUUCCUCUUACGUGAUUAUUGGGUCCUGUGAAGGGUGUAACACGAGGCUCCUUAAGUCAGGUGCUUGGAGUAUAGUGUCUGAUGAGCCUAAAAUCACAGUUUGAACAGCCCUCUAUGGCCAAGACAUGUUUCCCCUGUCUGGGUGCAUGAAUAGCCGAUAGAUACUCUGAUUUCAGAAGAGACCAGAGAAGAACUCGUGAAUUAGCAAAAAAGAUGCAUUGCACCUGGACAAACACUCAGAGCGGAUGGCCCAUGGAAGGGUCGGCACGCUGUGUUCCUAUAGAAAGGCUAAAACGUCCUUCGGGGGAUCACGGUGAACCGUGUACUGGGUCCCCUGAGCACGGGACGAGAGGAAACUGGUUAAAACCGCAACAGGAAGUUUACAUUAGAGUUAAGAAAAAGUCCACUCACAGCAAGUGGUCCUUGAUCGUGUUAUUGUAGUUCUGGGAGGAUAUAAAUGUUUUAGGGCCACCCCCCAGUGAGCGGUAUGGGGACUCCAGCAUGCACAGCGUGUGUGGGCUCGCACAGCGCUUUGAAGUGCAAAACUUCAAAUGGAUCCACUAGGUAGAUCAAAACCUCUACGAAACCUGUGUAGGAACCCGCGUCUCAGAAGAAAACUUAAACAAUGACAGGUACCUGAGUGUUUGCCUAAGCAAAGGUGGCCUCAUGGCCUCGGCGUCCUGCCCAUGUUUGGUGUCGCGUCUCCAAAAGGCUCCUUUGGCAUUUGUCAGGCAUUACAUCAUCCUCUCCCUCUGAGCUCAAGUCUCAGGAGAGGGAAUUAAGGAGAUGGGACUGGGGGUUGUGAGGCGUUCGGCUACGAUGACCUUGCUCCAGAAGAUGACAUAGGGAGGCUUAGUCACCCAGCCCUUCCUUGUUUGGACAGUGACUCGGCCGUGAGAGCUGUUUUUGAAGCAACUGGAAAUAGAAUCAAUUGCUGUUUGCUCUGAUAUAAAAAAUGCGCGUCUUGGGCUGGGAAACACAGAACAAACACCACGGCACAGCCAACCACGGGCGAGUGUGUUUUAAACCGGGCUCAGUCUGGGAACAUCUACAGAAAUAAAUGUGCAUUCUGAAAGCAG